GGUUCUGUAGUGUAGCUGGUUAUCACAGCGGAUUCUGAUCACACGACUUUCCGCUAACCCCGGUUCGAAUCCGGGCAGGACCU
rnacentral:tRNA from 1 species